rnacentral:rRNA from 1 species
CCUACGGGUGGCAGCAGUGAGGAAUAUUGGUCAAUGGACGAGAGUCUGAACCAGCCAAGUAGCGUGAAGGAUGACUGCCCUAUGGGUUGUAAACUUCUUUUAUAAAGGAAUAAAACGAGGCAAGUGUGCCUGUUUGCAUGUACUUUAUGAAUCAGGAGAGGCUAACUCCGUGCCAGCAGCCGCGGUAAUACGGAGGAUCCGAGCGUUAUCCGGAUUUAAUGGGUUUAAAGGGAGCGUAGAUGGUUUGCAAAGUCAGUUGUGAAAGUUUGCGGCUCAACCGUAAAAUUGCAAUUGAUACUGGCAGUCUUGAGUACAGUUGAGGUAGGCGGAAUUCGUGGUGUAGCGGUGAAAUGCUUAGAUAUCACGAAGAACCCCGAUUGCGAAGGCAGCUUACUAAACUGUGACUGACAUUGAUGCUCGAAAGUGUGGGUAUCAAACAGGAUUAGAUACCCCAGUAGUC